rnacentral:lncRNA from 1 species
AAGUGUGAAAACUGUAUAGGGGAUCUGUCACACAGUAGAUAUUUAUUCACUUAGAAUGCUUCCUCCCCUAAAAUUUGGGCUCAGAAAUUGGAUCCUUAGAGUAUUGCUGUACAGGCGACAUUGAGCCUCGUGUGGCCUGAACCAAGUUAAUUUUUAUGGGUUUUCCCUCCUUCCUUUGGGCUCCUAUAGCCACAAACUUUAUAGGUCAGUCUUGAUUAAAAGUAAUGUACCCUGGUGCCCUCAUAGCCUAUACCUACUUAUAGGAGCAAACACUCCAAAUGUUGCCUUGGGACUGUCAGUUUAGACUUACAACAUACAGAACUAUUAAUAACUUAUCUCUAGUUCCUUCCCAUUU